rnacentral:rRNA from 1 species
UGGGGAAUUUUGGACAAUGGGCGCAAGCCUGAUCCAGCCAUGCCGCGUGCGGGAAAAAGGCCUUCGGGUUGUAAACCGCUUUUGUCAGGGAAGAAAUCUUCUGAGUUAAUACCUCGGGAGGAUGACGGUACCUGAAGAAUAAGCACCGGCUAACUACGUGCCAGCAGCCGCGGUAAUACGUAGGGUGCAAGCGUUAAUCGGAAUUACUGGGCGUAAAGCGUGCGCAGGCGGUUUUGUAAGACAGAGGUGAAAUCCCCGGGCUCAACCUGGGAACUGCCUUUGUGACUGCAAGGCUUGAGUGCGGCAGAGGGGGGAUGGAAUUCCGCGUGUAGCAGUGAAAUGCGUAGAUAUGCGGAGGAACACCGAUGGCGAAGGCAAUCCCCUGGGCCUGCACUGACGCUCAUGCACGAAAGCGUGGGGAGCAAACAGGAUUAGAUACCCUGGUAGUCCACGCCCUAAACGAUGUCAACUGGUUGUUGGGAAGGUUCCUUCUCAGUAACGUAGCUAACGCGUGAAGUUGACCGCCUGGGGAGUACGGCCGCAAGGUUG